rnacentral:rRNA from 1 species
CGAGGGGUAGAAGUCUUCGGAUUUUGAGACCGGCGCACGGGUGCGUAACGCGUAUGCAAUCUACCUUUUACAGAGGGAUAGCCCAGAGAAAUUUGGAUUAAUACCUCAUAGCAUAGCAGCUUCGCAUGAAGCCACUAUUAAAGUCACAACGGUAAAAGAUGAGCAUGCGUCCCAUUAGCUAGUUGGUAAGGUAACGGCUUACCAAGGCUACGAUGGGUAGGGGUCCUGAGAGGGAGAUCCCCCACACUGGUACUGAGACACGGACCAGACUCCUACGGGAGGCAGCAGUGAGGAAUAUUGGACAAUGGGCGCAAGCCUGAUCCAGCCAUGCCGCGUGCAGGAUGACGGUCCUAUGGAUUGUAAACUGCUUUUAUACGAGAAGAAACACUGAUUCGUGAAUCAGCUUGACGGUAUCGUAAGAAUAAGGAUCGGCUAACUCCGUGCCAGCAGCCGCGGUAAUACGGAGGAUCCAAGCGUUAUCCGGAAUCAUUGGGUUUAAAGGGUCCGUAGGCGGUUUGGUAAGUCAGUGGUGAAAGCCCAUCGCUCAACGGUGGAACGGCCAUUGAUACUGCCAGACUUGAAUUAUUAGGAAGUAACUAGAAUAUGUAGUGUAGCGGUGAAAUGCUUAGAGAUUACAUGGAAUACCAAUUGCGAAGGCAGGUUACUACUAAUGGAUUGACGCUGAUGGACGAAAGCGUGGGUAGCGAACAGGAUUAGAUACCCUGGUAGUCCACGCCGUAAACGAUGGAU